rnacentral:lncRNA from 1 species
CAGAAUGUAACCAAAAGCAGCAGGAGAGGAAAAAAGCGGCUGAUGCCAUGCAGUAGCAAAUGUGUCUGGGAACACUCAAAGAGACACUCCCUUAAGUACAACCGGUACAUCCAUCCAGAGCUCGGGAGCCCUUUAGGGCGAUGUGCAGAGCCAGCAGUUAUUGGUGGGUCCUAAAGGCAGAGAAGCACCGAGACUCCAAUUCACCUUUGGUCUGAAAAACACCAGCUGCAUGCAGAGCGCCAUCCAAGAGUUUUUAACUCCUUAAAGCAAGAUGCCAUAUCUUAUUCAUACUUGUGUCUCUUUGAGCAACCAACUUAGUUCCUUGUUCGUAGAAGGUACUUAAUGGGCAUCAAGUUGAAAAUAAAUAAAAGUUACCUGUACUCUAACUUAG